UACAGAGGGGGCAAGCGUUAUUCGGAAUUAUUGGGCGUAAAGGGCGCGUAGGCGGCUUGGCAAGUGGAAGGUGAAAUCCCUCGGCUUAACCGAGGAACUGCCCUCCAAACUGCUCCGCUUGAGACCGGGAGAGAUGAGUGGAAUUCCCAGUGUAGCGGUGAAAUGCGUAGAUAUUGGGAGGAACACCAGUGGCGAAGGCGGCUCACUGGACCGGUACUGACGCUGAUGCGCGAAAGCUGGGGGAGCAAACAGG
rnacentral:rRNA from 1 species